rnacentral:rRNA from 1 species
UACGGAGGGUGCGAGCGUUGUCCGGAAUCAUUGGGCGUAAAGGGCGCGUAGGCGGCCUGAUCAGUCGGGGGUGAAAGCCCAAGGCUCAACCUUGGAAUUGCCUUUGAUACUGUUUGGCUUGAGACCGGAAGAGGUUAGUGGAACUGCGAGUGUAGAGGUGAAAUUCGUAGAUAUUCGCAAGAACACCAGUGGCGAAGGCGGCUAACUGGUCCGGUACUGACGCUGAGGUGCGAAAGCGUGGGGAGUAAACAGG